rnacentral:rRNA from 1 species
GCGCAGCAGGCGAGAAACCUCCGCAAUGCUCGAAAGAGCGACGGGGGGACUCCAAGUGCCUACGCUCAGCGUAGGCUGUUCCCGAGCCUAAAAAGCUCGGGGAGUAAGGGCUGGGUAAGACGGGUGCCAGCCGCCGCGGUAAUACCCGCAGCCCGAGUGGUGGCCGCUAUUAUUGGGCCUAAAGCGUCCGUAGCCGGCUCGGUAAAUGUCUGGGUAAAUCGUCUGGCCCAACCAGACGAAUUCCGGGUAGACUGCCGGGCUAGGGACCGGAGGAGGGAGAGGGGUACUCCAGGGGUAGGGGUGAAAUCAGCAAGGUGAGUUGCUGAUGUAACUUGCCUUGCAAGUCACAAUCCUGUAAUCCCUGGAGGACCACCGGUGGCGAAGGCGCUCUCCUAGGACGGGUCCGACGGUGAGGGACGAAAGCCAGGGGAGCAAACCGGAUUAGAUACCCGUGUAGU